ACAGCAGUAGCCGCGGUAAUACGUAGGGUGCGAGCGUUAAUCGGAAUUACUGGGCGUAAAGCGUGCGCAGGCGGUUAUAUAAGACAGAUGUGAAAUCCCCGGGCUCAACCUGGGACCUGCAUUUGUGACUGUAUAGCUAGAGUACGGUAGAGGGGGAUGGAAUUCCGCGUGUAGCAGUGAAAUGCGUAGAUAUGCGGAGGAACACCGAUGGCGAAGGCAAUCCCCUGGACCUGUACUGACGCUCAUGCACGAAAGCGUGGGGAGCAAACAGGAUUAGAUACCCCGGUAGUCCCUGUCUCUUAUAA
rnacentral:rRNA from 1 species